GAAAUGCGAUAAGUAAUGUGAAUUGCAGAAUUCAGUGAAUCAUCGAAUCUUUGAACGCACAUUGCGCCCGCCAGCAUUCUGGCGGGCAUGCCUGUUCGAGCGUCAUUUCAACCCUCAAGCUCUGCUUGGUGUUGGGGCCCUACAGCUGAUGUAGGCCCUCAAAGGUAGUGGCGGACCCUCCCGAGCCUCCUUUGCGUAGUAACUUUACGUCUCGCACUGGGAUCCGGAGGGACUCUUGCCGUAAAACCCCCCAAUUUUCCAAAGGUUGACCUCGGAUCAGGUAGGAAUACCCGCUGAACUUAA
rnacentral:misc_RNA from 1 species